UUCAUUUCCGUAAUCGAACGAUGAGAAAUUUAAUUAGUCGUAACAAAUUAACACUUUACCGACCGCCAGCAAUUCAACAGCAUACGCACGUCCGACCGGCAUCACAGGCGCAGAUUCUCCCUGGCACCGGCUCUGUUUCGCUUUAGACUCUCCAAUACCAUUGUUCUCGUUCAUCGCGAACGGUACGUUUUUCAAAUUGGUAUAAAACUGUGGGAGCUUACGAAGCAACGUAACUGACACAACUGAGCAAGGUAUCUUAGUACUAAAUAACAAAUUACUGUUCAAAUAAUGAGAAAGAUUGUCGGCGACAAAAAGUCGAUUAACAGACUAUCGGUCGGUAAGUAUUGGCAACAAAAAGCCGAUUAAUAGGCUAUCGGUUGGUAAAGUGUUAACCGUUUGAGUCUCAGGAGCUUUGAAAAAACAAGGUUGAAAAAUGCUGAACAGCGCGAUGGCGAAGAGAAACAAGCGGCGCUUAUAUUUCGCUCCUCAUAUUUGUUAUUUUAUGAAAUACAUCUGUAUUAUUAUAUAUGAGUACUAUUAGUUUAUAAAUAUUUCAAGUUUUGUCCGAUAAACAUUAUUGA
rnacentral:misc_RNA from 1 species